rnacentral:tRNA from 1 species
AUCCGUGUAGAACAAUGGUAGUUCGGCUCCCUGUUAAGGAGAAGGUUGUAGGUUCGAGUCCUACCACGGGUG